UGAAACUUCAUAGGUACAUUGAUCAUGACUUGCAGAUGACCCCUAAUGAUUUUGAGGUUACUAGGUCAAAGGUCAAGGUCACGGUGACCCAAAAUAGUAAAAUGGUUUCCGGAUGAUAACUCAAGAACGCAUACGCCUAGGAUCAUGAAACUUCAUGGGUAGAUUGAUCAUGACUCGCAGAUGACCCCUAUUGAUUUGAGGUCACUAGGUCAAAGGUCAAGGUCACAGUGACCCGAAAUAGUAAAAUGAUUUUCGGAUGAUAAUUCAAGAACGCAUAUGCCUAGGAUCAUGAAACUUUAUAGGUAGAUUGAUCAUGACUCGCAGAUGACCCCUAUUGAUUUUCAGGUCA